AUUGUAAUAUAUAACUGAAUUAUGUUUCAAUUUUAGAGGCACCAUGUCUUAAAGAGACUUUGGCUUUUAUAUCCUGCCUAAAGGACAAUAAUAAUCUUCAAGAAAUGUGUAUUGCUGAAAGUAAAGCUGUUCAGAACUGUUAUGGUAAUCAUCUGGCUGCUCAACGGGAGGCUAAACAAAGGGCAAAAUCGGGAAAGGAUUUUAUUCCAGAAAAGAGUGUAAAGGAUAUGACGCCUGUUGAAAUGAAUAGAUUUUUGUCUCAUUUUCCUCAUAAGACUAAGUAGUUUUAUCCAUGUUAUGUAAUAUGCCUAGUUGUUAAUUAAAAUUUAAUGCAUAAUCAUA